CCCUUAGAUGUUCUGGGCUGCACGCGCGCUACACUGAUGCACUCAACGAGUUUUCGACCUUGCCCGAUGGGGCUGGGUAAUCUUUUUAAAAUGCAUCGUGAUGGGGAUAGAUUAUUGCAAUUAUUAAUCUUCAACGAGGAAUUCCUAGUAAGCGCGAGUCAUCAGCUCGUGCUGAUUACGUCCCUGCCCUUUGUACACACCGCCCGUCGCUACUACUGAUUGGGUGUUUAAGCAAGAAUCUCGGAACCUUGCAGUUUUGUCUCCGGAUGAAACAGUGAGUGGAAGAGAAUCGAGCUUAUUUGCCUAGAGGAAGUAAAAGUCGUAACA
rnacentral:rRNA from 1 species